rnacentral:rRNA from 1 species
GGGGGAAAGAUUUAUCGCUAUUAGAUGAGCCUAUGUUAGAUUAGCUAGUUGGUAGGGUAAAGGCCUACCAAGGCGAUGAUCUAUAGCUGGUCUGAGAGGAUGAUCAGCCACACUGGAACUGAGAUACGGUCCAGACUCCUACGGGAGGCAGCAGUGGGGAAUAUUGGACAAUGGGCGCAAGCCUGAUCCAGCUAUGCCGCGUGAGUGAGGAAGGCCUUAGGGUUGUAAAACUCUUUCAGUAGGGAAGAUAAUGACGGUACCUACAGAAGAAGUCCCGGCAAACUCCGUGCCAGCAGCCGCGGUAAUACGGAGGGGGCAAGCGUUGUUCGGAAUUAUUGGGCGUAAAGGGCAUGUAG